rnacentral:rRNA from 1 species
GACGAACGCUGGCGGCGUGCUUAACACAUGCAAGUCGAACGGAAAGGCCCUGCUUUUGUGGGGUGCUCGAGUGGCGAACGGGUGAGUAACACGUGAGUAACCUGCCCUUGACUUUGGGAUAACUUCAGGAAACUGGGGCUAAUACCGGAUAGGAGCUCCUGCUGCAUGGUGGGGGUUGGAAAGUUUCGGCGGUUGGGGAUGGACUCGCGGCUUAUCAGCUUGUUGGUGGGGCAGCGGCUUACCAAGGCUUUGACGGGUAGCCGGCCUGAGAGGGUGACCGGCCACAUUGGGACUGAGAUACGGCCCAGACUCCUACGGGAGGCAGCAGUGGGGAAUAUUGCACAAUGGGCGGAAGCCUGAUGCAGCAACGCCGCGUGCGGGAUGACGGCCUUCGGGUUGUAAACCGCUUUCGCCUGUGACGAAGCGUGAGUGACGGUAAUGGGUAAAGAAGCACCGGCUAACUACGUG